AUGCUGGAUUCAGGGGUGAUCACACACAGCGUGAGCCCCUACGCGGCACCGGUGUUGCUCGUUAAGAAGAAGGACGGCACCUGGAGGUUUUGCGUCGAUUACCGCUGGCUCAAUGACGCAACAAUCAAGAACAAGUUUCCCCUACCAAUCGUGGAUGAACUGCUUGAUGAACUAGCGGGCGCCACAGUCUUCUCCAAGUUGGAUUUACAGUCCGGCUACCAUCAUAUUCGAAUGCGAGAAGAAGAUGAGGCCAAGACGGCGUUCAAGACCCAUCACGGCCAUUUUCAGUUCCGCGUCAUGCCGUUCGGCCUCACCAACGCUCCGGCAACAUUUCAGUGCCUGAUGAACGCGAUUUUCAGUAAGUACAUCCGCAAGUUCGUCAUCAUUUUCCUUGACGAUAUUUUGGUCUUCAGUGAAACAAUGGAAGAACACCUGGAACAUGUGCGCACGGUGAUGGGACUGCUUCGUCGACACCAACUCUAUGUCAAGGCCUCCAAGUGUGAGUUCGCCACCGAUCACAUCGACUACCUCGGCCAUGUGAUCUCCCGCGAGGGCGUCGCCACCGAUGCGGAGAAAACCUAG
rnacentral:rRNA from 1 species